GACGAACCGUGCGAACGUUGUUCGGAUUCACUGGGCAUAAAGGGCGCGUAGGCGGACGGUCAAGUCGGGGGUGAAAUCUUUCAGCUUAACUGGAAAAGUGCCUCCGAUACUGAUCGUCUCGAGGGAGGUAGGGGCAUGUGGAACUUCCGGUGGAGCGGUGAAAUGCGUAGAUAUCGGAAGGAACGCCGGUGGCGAAAGCGACGUGCUGGACGUCUUCUGACGCUGAGGCGCGAAAGCUAGGGGAGCAAACGGG
rnacentral:rRNA from 1 species